rnacentral:tRNA from 1 species
UAGGGAGUGGUGUAAUAGGAAACACGGAGAGUUUUGAUCUCUCAAAUAUAGGUUCGAGUCCUAUUUUUCUAGUA